GGUUAAGCGACUAAGCGUACACGGUGGAUGCCCUGGCAGUCAGAGGCGAUGAAGGACGUGCUAAUCUGCGAAAAGCGUCGGUAAGGUGAUAUGAACCGUUAUAACCGGCGAUGUCCGAAUGGGGAAACCCAGUGCAAUUCGUUGCACUAUCGUUAACUGAAUACAUAGGUUAACGAGGCGAACCGGGGGAACUGAAACAUCUAAGUACCCCGAGGAAAAGAAAUCAACCGAGAUUCCCCCAGUAGCGGCGAGCGAACGGGGAGCAGCCCAGAGUCUGAAUCAGCUUGUGUGUUAGUGGAACGGUCUGGAAAGUCCGACGGUACAGGGUGAUAGUCCCGUACACCAAAAUGCACAGGCUGUGAACUCGAAGAGUAGGGCGGGACACGUGGUAUCCUGUCUGAAUAUGGGGGGACCAUCCUCCAAGGCUAAAUACUCCUGACUGACCGAUAGUGAACCAGUACCGUGAGGGAAAGGCGAAAAGAACCCCGGCGAGGGGAGUGAAAAAGAACCUGAAACCGUGUACGUACAAGCAGUGGGAGCACCUUCGGGUGUGACUGCGUACCUUUUGUAUAAUGGGUCAGCGACUUAUAUUCUGUAGCAAGGUUAACCGUAUAGGGGAGCCGCAGGGAAACCGAGUCUUAACUGGGCGUUAAGUUGCAGGGUAUAGACCCGAAACCCGGUGAUCUAGCCAUGGGCAGGUUGAAGGUUGGGUAACACUAACUGGAGGACCGAACCGACUAAUGUUGAAAAAUUAGCGGAUGACUUGUGGCUGGGGGUGAAAGGCCAAUCAAACCGGGAGAUAGCUGGUUCUCCCCGAAAGCUAUUUAGGUAGCGCCUCGUGAAUUCAUCUUCGGGGGUAGAGCACUGUUUCGGCUAGGGGGUCAUCCCGACUUACCAACCCGAUGCAAACUACGAAUACCGAAGAAUGUUAUCACGGGAGACACACGGCGGGUGCUAACGUCCGUCGUGAAGAGGGAAACAACCCAGACCGCCAGCUAAGGUCCCAAAGUCAUGGUUAAGUGGGAAACGAUGUGGGAAGGCACAGACAGCCAGGAUGUUGGCUUAGAAGCAGCCAUCAUUUAAAGAAAGCGUAAUAGCUCACUGGUCGAGUCGGCCUGCGCGGAAGAUGUAACGGGGCUAAACCAUGCACCGAAGCUGCGGCAGCGACACUAUGUGUUGUUGGGUAGGGGAGCGUUCUGUAAGCCUGCGAAGGUGUGCUGUGAGGCAUGCUGGAGGUAUCAGAAGUGCGAAUGCUGACAUAAGUAACGAUAAAGCGGGUGAAAAGCCCGCUCGCCGGAAGACCAAGGGUUCCUGUCCAACGUUAAUCGGGGCAGGGUGAGUCGACCCCUAAGGCGAGGCCGAAAGGCGUAGUCGAUGGGAAACAGGUUAAUAUUCCUGUACUUGGUGUUACUGCGAAGGGGGGACGGAGAAGGCUAUGUUAGCCGGGCGACGGUUGUCCCGGUUUAAGCAUGUAGGCUGAUUGUCCAGGCAAAUCCGGAUAAUCAAGGCUGAGGUGUGAUGACGAGGCACUACGGUGCUGAAGUAACAAAUGCCCUGCUUCCAGGAAAAGCCUCUAAGCAUCAGGUAACAUCAAAUCGUACCCCAAACCGACACAGGUGGUCAGGUAGAGAAUACCAAGGCGCUUGAGAGAACUCGGGUGAAGGAACUAGGCAAAAUGGUGCCGUAACUUCGGGAGAAGGCACGCUGGUGUGUAGGUGAAGUCCCUGCGGAUGGAGCUGAGACCAGUCGAAGAUACCAGCUGGCUGCAACUGUUUAUUAAAAACACAGCACUGUGCAAACACGAAAGUGGACGUAUACGGUGUGACGCCUGCCCGGUGCCGGAAGGUUAAUUGAUGGGGUUAUCCGUAAGGAGAAGCUCUUGAUCGAAGCCCCGGUAAACGGCGGCCGUAACUAUAACGGUCCUAAGGUAGCGAAAUUCCUUGUCGGGUAAGUUCCGACCUGCACGAAUGGCGUAAUGAUGGCCAGGCUGUCUCCACCCGAGACUCAGUGAAAUUGAACUCGCUGUGAAGAUGCAGUGUACCCGCGGCAAGACGGAAAGACCCCGUGAACCUUUACUAUAGCUUGACACUGAACAUUGAGCCUUGAUGUGUAGGAUAGGUGGGAGGCUUUGAAGCGUGGACGCCAGUCUGCGUGGAGCCAACCUUGAAAUACCACCCUUUAAUGUUUGAUGUUCUAACGUUGGCCCCUGACCGGGGUUGCGGACAGUGUCUGGUGGGUAGUUUGACUGGGGCGGUCUCCUCCCAAAGCGUAACGGAGGAGCACGAAGGUUAGCUAAUCCUGGUCGGACAUCAGGAGGUUAGUGCAAUGGCAUAAGCUAGCUUGACUGCGAGCGUGACGGCGCGAGCAGGUGCGAAAGCAGGUCAUAGUGAUCCGGUGGUUCUGAAUGGAAGGGCCAUCGCUCAACGGAUAAAAGGUACUCCGGGGAUAACAGGCUGAUACCGCCCAAGAGUUCAUAUCGACGGCGGUGUUUGGCACCUCGAUGUCGGCUCAUCACAUCCUGGGGCUGAAGUAGGUCCCAAGGGUAUGGCUGUUCGCCAUUUAAAGUGGUACGCGAGCUGGGUUUAGAACGUCGUGAGACAGUUCGGUCCCUAUCUGCCGUGGGCGCUGGAGAAUUGAGGGGGGCUGCUCCUAGUACGAGAGGACCGGAGUGGACGCAUCACUGGUGUUCGGGUUGUCAUGCCAAUGGCACUGCCCGGUAGCUAAAUGCGGAAGAGAUAAGUGCUGAAAGCAUCUAAGCACGAAACUUGCCCCGAGAUGAGUUCUCCCUGAGACUUUAAGUCUCCUGAAGGAACGUUGAAGACGACGACGUUGAUAGGCCGGGUGUGUAAGCGCAGCGAUGCGUUGAGCUAACCGGUACUAAUGAACCGUGAGGCUUAACCUU
rnacentral:rRNA from 1 species